UUUAGACUCUCAAGAAAGGUAGACCUACCACACAUUUAGACUCUCAAGAAAGGUAGACCUACCACACGUUUAGACUCUCAAGAAAGGUAGACCUACCACACAUUUAGACUCUCAAGAAAGGUAGACCUACCACACAUUUAGACUCUCAAGAAAGGUAGACCUGCCACACAUUUAGACUCUCAAGAAAGGUAGACCUGCCACACAUUUAGACUCUCAAGAAAGGUAGACCUACCACACAUUUAGACUCUCAAGAAAGGUAGACCUACCACACAUUUAGACUCUCAAGAAAGGUAGACCUGCCACACAUUUAGACUCUCAAGAAAGGUAGACCUGCCACACAUUUUAGACUCUCCACAAUGCUAGGGCUACCAAACAUUUUAACUCCAUAAAGCUAGGCCUACAACACAUUUUAACUCCAUAAAGCUAGGCCUACAACACAUUUUAACUCCAUAAAGCUAGGCCAACAAAAAGUUUUAACUCCAUAAAGCUAGACAUACAACACAUUUUAACUCCAUAAAGCUAGGCCUACAACACAUUUUAACUCCAUAAAGCUAGGCCAAAAAAACUUUUUAACUCCAUAAAGCUAGACAUACAACACAUUUGAACUCCAUAAAGCUAGACCUACAACACAUUUU